UACGAAGGGUGCAAGCGUUACUCGGAAUUACUGGGCGUAAAGCGUGCGUAGGUGGUUUGUUAAGUCUGUUGUGAAAUCCCCGGGCUUAACCUGGGAAUGGCAUUUGGGACUGCAAGGCUCGAGUGCGGCAGAGGAGACUGGAAUUCCUGGUGUAGCAGUGAAAUGCGUAGAUAUCAGGAGGAACACCGAUGGCGAAGGCAGGUCUCUGGGCUGACACUGACGCUCAUGCACGAAAGCGUGGGGAGCAAACAGG
rnacentral:rRNA from 1 species